rnacentral:rRNA from 1 species
UACAGAGGUCUCAAGCGUUGUUCGGAUUCAUUGGGCGUAAAGGGUGCGUAGGUGGCGGGGCAAGUUUGGUGUGAAAUCCCGGGGCUCAACCCCGGAACUGCACUGAAUACUGCCUUGCUAGAGCACUGGAGAGGGAACUGGAAUUUACGGUGUAGCAGUGAAAUGCGUAGAGAUCGUAAAGGAAGACCAGUGGCGAAGGCGAGUUUCUGGACAGUAACUGACGCUGAGGCACGAAGGCCAGGGGGAGCAAACGGGG